rnacentral:tRNA from 1 species
UGGGGGAUGGUGUAACUGGUAACACGCCUGACUCUGGAUCAGGAAAGCGGAGGUUCGAGUCCUCCUCCCCCAGCCA